CCUACGGGGGGCAGCAGUGGGGAAUAUUGGACAAUGGGGGCAACCCUGAUCCAGCCAUGCCGCGUGUGUGAAGAAGGCCCUCGGGUUGUAAAGCACUUUCAGUGAGGAAGAACGCCUGGUGGUUAAUACCCAUCAGGAAAGACAUCACUCACAGAAGAAGCACCGGCUAACUCCGUGCCAGCAGCCGCGGUAAUACGGAGGGUGCGAGCGUUAAUCGGAAUUACUGGGCGUAAAGCGCGCGUAGGUGGCUUGAUAAGCCGGUUGUGAAAGCCCCGGGCUCAACCUGGGAACGGCAUCCGGAACUGUCAAGCUAGAGUGCAGGAGAGGAAGGUAGAAUUCCCGGUGUAGCGGUGAAAUGCGUAGAGAUCGGGAGGAAUACCAGUGGCGAAGGCGGCCUUCUGGACUGACUCUGACACUGAGGUGCGAAAGCGUGGGUAGCAAACAGGAUUAGAUACCCCAGUAGUC
rnacentral:rRNA from 1 species